AGGGAUAUUUGCUUGGCUUUCAGUAUGGUGGCCAUGUUCAUCACUGAAGCUUUCCUUGCAGUCUGAGGAAGUAAUAAGGCUGCCAUUUCUUGAGUGUCUGCUGUGUGUCCUGCGUUGGAAGACAAGCCUUAAUCCGAACUCUUAUGCUCUGAAGGGACUAUACAUGGAGGUCUGGGAUUACUUUAUCUCAGAACUUGCCUUUCAUUGACUAUUUUAAAUGUUUACCAAACACUUUACCAAGAAGCUCUAAAGAACUUGGAGAAAAUAGCAGACUG